AAAAAAAUUAAAACACUCCCCCCCGCCCAUUUAUAUAAUCCUGCGUCGCUGCAAAGGGCUCGGGAAAGGAAGGAAGGGCUGUUGGGAAGCGCGAGAAGAUCGCCUCGCAAACUUGGCCCCCCCCCCCCCCCUUGCAAAGAUUUCAAAUUCCCUUGGGGGAAUAAAAAGAAGGAUUUAAAAAGACACCACGGAAAUAGACUCGCGGCGUCGGGCUGGUCUUGCGGGGAAUUUGGCAAGUCGGGACAAGGGGCGGCUGCAAAUGCGGCCGUCUCAUCAAACGCCAGGAGACGAAGGCAGAGGAAGGAGAGGAGUCGGGCGGACUUUUCCGCCGAGUCCUCGGGUGGGGUCCCCAAAACCGACGCCGGGCGAGAGGCCCGAGGGGCGCAGCCGCCGCGGAAGCCAGCAGUGACGGCGUAGAAUUUGCCAACGGAACACCACACGGCAAUCGUUGGCUGCAGGGUUGGCAGAAUGGAAAGGAACAGGCUUUCCGGAGAGUUUUCUGACUAGUUAUACAGAGAAAUGUGAACCUUUUCCUUACAACCCUAUAAGAAAAAAUGAAAUAUUUGGACAAUAUGGUAUGUUGGUAUUUUACUUUGAGUUGCAAAAUACUUGGGGGAGGGCUGUAUCCAAGAUCCAAUGGAAAGCCUGAAACUGAACAAGAAUGAAAGAGGAAGGCAUGUUCAGAGACAGCGGUAUCACACGUCUCACUAAAAGAUGUUCAGCUGUGUCGGCGCUCAGAUUUGAGCACUGGAAAGAAUGCCAAG